rnacentral:rRNA from 1 species
UACGAAGGGGGGCUAGCGUUGUUCGGAAUUACUGGGCGUAAAGCGUGCGCAGGCGGCUUCUCAAGUCAGGGGGUGAAAGCCCAGAGCUCAACUCUGGAACUGCCUUUGAGACUGAGAGGCUUGAGUACGGGAGAGGUGAGUGGAAUUCCCAGUGUAGAGGUGAAAUUCGUAGAUAUUGGGAAGAACACCGGUGGCGAAGGCGGCUCACUGGCCCGUAACUGACGCUCAUGCACGACAGCGUGGGGAUCAAACAGGA